UUAACGACGAAGAAUUUCUCUUUAUAUUUCUUGUUUAUUUUGUUUGUCAAAUCCAUAUAAACGGCGCGUAAUCAAUAUAGAAAUUUGAACGAACGUACAUUUAAGUGGAAUGAUUAUAUACAUAAUCUAGUUUGAAUUAUUCUCUAGAGAAAUAUGAUAAAAUAUUUAUAAUAUAAAACUAUAACGAUAUAUUUUCUUGAAUAAUAUUGUCAUGAUUCUUGGACAGUUUCAGCUUAAGUGUUAUAAUUUUGAUUGAUUGUGGGUGAUUUCCUGUGGCCUUCUCCUUGAGGAGAUUUUUCGACGUUUUGACCUUAACCCACAAGCUGGUCUAAGAAAACGGACAUUGAUCUCGAUGGAUCAGAAACGACCUAGAACCAUGGCAAGGAGAGCCAUGCGAACGUAAACACCAUUCUCGGCUUGCCUAAAAUACGCAGCGCGAGGAUCCAUGUCGAAUUCUGUACUUAUUUCGAAAACACGUGGAAGGGGAUGCAUGACUACCAUUUUCCUUUUGGCACGCGACAUUAAUUGCGGCGUCACUAUGAAAUGACCACAAACCUGCGAAAAAAUAAAUGACAUUUUUAUUAUGAUUUAUUUUCGCGUUUCAUCGAUAGGACUCAUUUGAAAAGUUCAAAAUUAAUUUACAUCGAAAUUCGUAAUUAGUGGUACAGGUGAUUGAACAUGAAAAUAUGAUUAAGUGGAAUGAACGUACACGCUUAAGAUAGUUAAUGAUCAGUAUCAGAUUCAUUAACAUCUCUUAUAUUUUAUACACGUAAGUAAUAUAUGUCAGUACAAAAUUAUUCUUUUUACCUGUCGAUAUUCAUCCUGGGUUACGAAACGUUCGCGUUGUAUACGUGUCAUAUAAAGUACGUCCGUAUCUGGCAAUGCCUCUUCAAGACUUUGAAACAUUUCCUGGGAUACGCCUCGCUUUGACACAUAAUUCAUUACGUGCUCGGGCAUUUCAAGUCCAGACGGAGAAACGUAUCGUAGUUCUACGUUAUACAAGGUCAGUAACCUGAAAUCGAGUUAAUAUGAUAAUUAUUAGUCGACAUAUUGACGGAUCGAAUAAAAGAUUUUUUUUUAAUUGGUAAUGAAUGCGAAACGAAAAUUCUAUGAAUCAAAAGAUUUGUACGAAUUGAUCGACUACUUUAGAUACAUUGAUCGAUAACAAAUAUUGAUCGUUAUUAUACGAUAAAAAUAUGAAAAUGAUAUCGAAAAGAGAUAAAUUAGAACGAUUGUUAUUAUACUGUAAUAUAUAGUAUAAAAAGUGAUAAUUCUGUGAUACGGAUUUUUAUAUUUAAUAAUUUACGAUCGAUGUGUAGGAUAGAGAAUUUGAUUUUAUUGAAUUAACCUGGCGAGAGAAUGAACGGUUCUUCCAUGCUUCAAAUCGCCGACCAUCGUAAUCGUCAGACCGUUCACAGUACCGAUCUCAUCACGAAUUGUGAAGAUAUCCAAUAAGGCUUGAGUGGGAUGUUCACCAACACCAUCGCCAGCAUUUAUUAGGGGCUUUCUACAGUGUUGAGAUGCUCUCUAUAAAAUAGAUAAUAAUAUAUAGGAUAGUUUAUUCGUCACUUAUCUACUUAUGCAAUAUUUCAAAUAUGUGUGCUUACUGAUACUGCACCAGGUUCUGGAUGUCGAACAACAACGACGUCAGCGUAACCAGCCAUUACGGCUACCGAAUCUGUGAUCGAAAAAAGAUCAUCGAUUAGAAUAUAUAUUAAAAAAAAAAAAAAAAAAA